rnacentral:rRNA from 1 species
CCUACGGGGGGCUGCAGUGGGGAAUAUUGGACAAUGGGGGCAACCCUGAUCCAGCCAUGCCGCGUGUGUGAAGAAGGCCCUCGGGUUGUAAAGCACUUUCAGUGAGGAAGAACGCCUGGUGGUUAAUACCCAUCAGGAAAGACAUCACUCACAGAAGAAGCACCGGCUAACUCCGUGCCAGCAGCCGCGGUAAUACGGAGGGUGCGAGUGUUAAUCGGAAUUACUGGGCGUAAAGCGCGCGUAGGUGGCUUGAUAAGCCGGUUGUGAAAGCCCCGGGCUCAACCUGGGAACGGCAUCCGGAACUGUCAAGCUAGAGUGCAGGAGAGGAAGGUAGAAUUCCCGGUGUAGCGGUGAAAUGCGUAGAGAUCGGGAGGAAUACCAGUGGCGAAGGCGGCCUUCUGGACUGACACUGACACUGAGGUGCGAAAGCGUGGGUAGCAAACAGGAUUAGAUACCCUAGUAGUC